GCAGCCGCGCAGCACCUCUCCCACAGGCUCAGGCGUCUGAACAGUUGCCAGCCUAGGAAUGCGGGAGACAUGCUUAUUUCCCUGCCUACCCUCUGAUCAGAGUCUGUGAUGCGAAGUCCUGUGUCAUAGAUGUCAAGCACUGUGGACAGGGAAGAAGAUUUUUGUGCUGUUGGUGAUUGGGAAAUGUGGAAGACUAUCAGGAGCACCUACUACUCAAUGCAAUCCAUCUAAGAGACCAAAGGGUGUUCUUAUAGGCAUUGACAGUGGCUGCUCAUACAGACUGUCUUGAGAAUGGAAAAAAACGUACAAUAAAGUGAAUUGGAAAUGAGAGACUUCAUAAGGGAAAUGCAUGGUAUAAUGAAUACUGAAGAAAGCUGCAUAGAACAAACAAGCUGAAAAAGUGGACAUGAGAUAUUCUUGAGUCAAAAAUGAAAAACUGCUAAUGUCCCUAUUAACAUGCACAUGUAACUUUAGCAUUGUCUACCUUAAAAGGGUUGUCUAUUAUCGCUUGGACGUGCAACCAGUGUCCACAGGCCCAUCUGGUGUACGCCGACCCGUGAGGAGCUGGAAUGAAGGAUGGGAGUGGUAGUGGCUUUGGCUGUCACAGUCAAUCAUGAUGGCUGUCCUCAAACCAUUGCUCCCUAGGGCCAUGCAGUGAAAGGAGGGGGCACCCUUCCUUCUUUCAGGACACACCCUGAUUCUGGGGCUCCUGCCUGAUGGUAACUGGGGUGCCCUUGAUGUUAGGUGUGCAAAAUAAGGGUUGUAUUGCAUCCAACAACAUUUUGGACAGAGUUAAAAUUCUUUCUCUACAUAAUGAGGUAUGGAGUCUGGCAUAGUGACAAAUAAUGGCACUCUCGGUAUGUUAUCUUGCUAAAGUAUCUCUCAGUACAAUCUCUGGCUGGUAACUUUAAUCUGGUAAUUAUAGCUGUAGUGUUCACAGGUCUUUAGAGGCACGUCUGACAAGCACGUGGUUAAGUGUGACGGGUGUCUUAACUGUAAUCCCUCACAAACUGCAAAUUCUGGUUAGCUGUAGUCGCAGGUUACGAUGCUGGCUCCUCUGCUUGGCAAUGCAGAUUCUAAGUUCUUCUUUCUUUCUCUCUUUCUUGCUGUAGCAGAAGCAGUAACUUUCAAAGAGAUUGGUUAGUCUCUGGAUCUUGAGGCGUAAGGAGAAGGAAAACAUAGACUUGCUUCCUUUAUCAUUACACAUUGUAGUCUACUCUCUCCCUUUAGUCAGGAAGUAGGACCAGCCUACUCGUGCUCCUCCUGAGAGAUACCCCCUGCACUGGGAUAUUGCAGGAGCACCUCCCGACAAUUGCUAGAACAAAGUUACAGCAGUACCAAGAAAGCGUCAUGGUAUUUCUUCCUGCUAUGGUGUUCAUUAUUAAGGGCAUUACCAAUGCACCCCGAAAAAACUAUUUGGUUCUACUUUGUUAAUACAGUGCUGUUGAGUCGUGUAUAACUGCAUAGUACUAGGCUGCAAAGCUGCUGCAUCCCAACUGCAUCACUGCCACAUCUUGUGGCUGUACCGUUAUGCUUCGGGGGCAAUUCAGCUGUUUGUCUGGGACCUUCAAUGAUUCGACUUGUACAGGGAAGCACAAUAUUUGGAAAACUGUGCUAAUUGGAAUCAUCUAUGCCGCCUGUGUGGCUCUUUCAUUCUACUCACCACUUUGGCAUCAGAUUUGACAAGCUAUACCCAUAACUGGGUAAAUAGAUUGUACUAGUUCAGAGAUUGGAACAUUUACUCAGCACUAUACAUGUCUUGAGGAAUAAAGUAUGUUGAGGGAAAUUAAAAGUAUUUCCAAGCUUUUUAACAGUUUUGUGGUCACGCCAACCCCCCACUGGACCUGUAAAGUUAACAUAAUUACCUGCCCCGAAUGCUUAGUUAUAGCUCCUUUGGUCCA